UUUUUUCUUUUUUUUUUUUUUACAAAAUAAAAUACAUAGAUUUAAACACAAUUACAUUCACACAGAUUAUUAUAUCAUGGAUCUUAAGAAACAGAUUAAGUGACUCCCUCUGGAGAAGUGGAAUGGAAAAUACGCUGAGACAAAUAGGAAAUUUAUUCUAUACUUUAUCCCAUUUUGUAUGGCUUUCAUCUUUACUAUUUAGUAUUAUCUAUUACAUUUUAAUUUUUCUUUAAAAAUUAGCAUUAUAUCAAAAUUGUGUAUAUUAUGCAACUAAAAUUUAUAAAGAAAGCCUUAUAUACCAUUAAGUAUUUUAAUAGCAUAAUAAAAAGAAUAACCUAACUGGUAAGAAUAGCAAAAAUAAUACACCCUCUGAAAAUAAGUAAAACAUAAAAUGCAUAAAUUGGUUAAGAAAUAGUGUAUCUAUAUAAAUAUGUCCUCACAAUUUGUUACAUCUUAUUGAUUCUUCAAUAAAGGCAUUACACCAUUCUAGGUGAUGUGAUAAAAAAGACAUUAUAGACUUUACAUUGUACCAUGGAGAGAAAUGGUUACUAAUAAUACAAUUAGGAAACUAUAUUAUUUAAUUGUACAGUUGCAUUAUUUAAUUAUAAUUAUCAUAAAUUCUUUGAUGGAGAGGAAAUCAGAAUCAGAUCUAAGAAGACUUAAGCAUUCCAAGAAUGAUGUCAAAUGACCCCCUUCAUGGUGGGUUAUGCACUUAUUUACUGUGAGAUAUAUUUCUUCUCCAGAGAUUCCUUGUUUGUGUAUCAAUUGUAGAUUUUUGGUUUGCAGUUAUUCUGAAGUUUUGAUAUGAGUCUAUAUGUAUAUGAGAUUGUUUUAGGUUGUUGUUCUCUUAAUUGCAAGUUCAUCUCCGGUGUCCCGCAUUUGUACCCACCUCUUCUCAUGAUUUCUGAUUUUGGUGGUAUAAUUGUGCAUGGAUGAUUUCGUAUCCUUACUGUAUAUAUACCUUUACUGGUGAGCCUUGUCAUUUGUGGCAUUUUUGUUUCCUGUUGUGGCCUUUUCUUCUCUACCUAGAGACGUUCCUUUAGUAUUUGUUGUAAGGCUGGUUUAGUGUUGCUGAAUUCUCUCAGCUUUUGCUUACCUGUGAAGGUUUUGAUUUCUCCUUCAAAUCUGAAUGAGAGCCUUGCUGGGUAAAGUAAUCUUGGUUGGAGGCUUUUUCCUUUCAUCACAUUAAGUACAUCAUGCCACUCCCUUCUGGCCUGCAGAGUUUCUGCCGAAAAAAAUCUGCCGAUAACCUUAUUGGGGUUCCCCUAUAUGUUACUUGUUUCUUUUCCCUAGCUGCUUUCAAGAUUAUCUCUUCGUCUUUAAUUUUGGUUAGUUUGAUUAAUAUGUGUCUCAGUAUAUUCCUCCUUGGGUUUAUUUUAUAUGGUACUCGUUGUGCUUCUUAGAUUGGAGUAAGUGGUUCCUUUCCCAUGUUAGGGAAGUUUUCGGCUAUUAUCUCUUGGAAUAUUUUUUGUCUCCUUCUCUCUCUCUUCUCCUUCUGGCACCCCUAUAAUAUGGAUGUUGGUGCAUUUCACGUUGUCCCAGAGUUCUCUGAGACUCUCUUCAUUUGUUUUCAAUCUUUUUUCUCUUUUCUGUUCUGCAUCCGUAAUUUCCACUAAUCUGUCCUCCACCUCGCUUAUUCGUUCUUCUGCCUCCUGUAUUCUGCUGUUAGCUGCUUCUAGUGAGUUUUUUAUUUCAGUUAUUGUAUUUUGCAUCACUUCUUGUUUAAGUUUUAUAUCUUGUAUCUCUUUGGACAGUGUUUCCUGUAAGUUAUCCAUCUUUGCCUCCAGUUUAUUUCCAAUGUUUUGCAUCAUCUUCAGCAUCAACAAUCCAAAGUCUUUUUUCUGGAGGCUGAGAAUCUCCUCAUCGCUUAGCUGAUUGUCUGGGGUUUUUCCUUUUUCCCUCAUCUGAGUUAUAGUUCUCUGUCUUUUCAUUUUUAUAGGUUAUUGGUGUGGUGACCUUUUUACAGAUAAUAGAGCUGUAGCUUCUCUUAC
rnacentral:lncRNA from 1 species